rnacentral:sRNA from 1 species
ACCUGGCAUGGUGGCACAUGCCUGUAAUCUCAGAGACUAGAGAGGUUGAGACAGGAGGAUCACAAGUUCAAGGCCAGGCUCAGCAACUAAGUGAGACCCUGUCUAUU